rnacentral:rRNA from 1 species
CAGUCGACGGAGCACCCUUGACUGAGGUUUCGGCCAAAUGAUAGGAAUGCUUAGUGGCGGACUGGUGAGUAACGCGUGAGGAACCUGCCUUCCAGAGGGGGACAACAGUUGGAAACGACUGCUAAUACCGCAUGACGCAUGACCGGGGCAUCCCGGGCAUGUCAAAGAUUUUAUCGCUGGAAGAUGGCCUCGCGUCUGAUUAGCUAGAUGGUGGGGUAACGGCCCACCAUGGCGACGAUCAGUAGCCGGACUGAGAGGUUGACCGGCCACAUUGGGACUGAGAUACGGCCCAGACUCCUACGGGAGGCAGCAGUGGGGAAUAUUGGGCAAUGGACGCAAGUCUGACCCAGCAACGCCGCGUGAAGGAAGAAGGCUUUCGGGUUGUAAACUUCUUUUGUCAGGGAAGAGUAGAAGACGGUACCUGACGAAUAAGCCACGGCUAACUACGUGCCAGCAGCCGCGGUAAUACGUAGGUGGCAAGCGUUGUCCGGAUUUACUGGGUGUAAAGGGCGUGCAGCCGGGCCGGCAAGUCAGAUGUGAAAUCUGGAGGCUUAACCUCCAAACUGCAUUUGAAACUGUAGGUCUUGAGUACCGGAGAGGUUAUCGGAAUUCCUUGUGUAGCGGUGAAAUGCGUAGAUAUAAGGAAGAACACCAGUGGCGAAGGCGGAUAACUGGACGGCAACU